CUGGAAACGGCCGCUAAUACCCCAUAUGCCGCGAGGUGAAAUGAAUUUCGCCUGAGGAUGAGCUCGCGUCUGAUUAGCUUGUUGGUGAGGUAAUGGCUCACCAAGGCAACGAUCAGUAGCUGGUCUGAGAGGAUGAUCAGCCACACUGGGACUGAGACACGGCCCAGACUCCUACGGGAGGCAGCAGUGGGGAAUUUUCCGCAAUGGGCGAAAGCCUGACGGAGCAACGCCGCGUGAGGGAUGAAGGCCUCUGGGCUGUAAACCUCUUUUAUCAAGGAAGAAGAUCUGACGGUACUUGAUGAAUAAGCCACGGCUAAUUCCGUGCCAGCAGCCGCGGUAAUACGGGAGUGGCAAGCGUUAUCCGGAAUUAUUGGGCGUAAAGCGUCCGCAGGCGGCCUUGUAAGUCUGUUGUUAAAGCGUGGAGCUUAACUCCAUUUAAGCAAUGGAAACUGCAAGGCUUGAGUGUGGUAGGGGCAGAGGGAAUUCCCGGUGUAGCGGUGGAAUGCGUAGAUAUCGGGAAGAACACCAGUGGCGAAGGCGCU
rnacentral:rRNA from 1 species